AGAGUUUGAUCCUGGCUCAGGAUGAACGCUGACAGAAUGCUUAACACAUGCAAGUCAACUUGAAUUUGGGUUUUUAACUUAGAUUUGGGUGGCGGACGGGUGAGUAACGCGUAAAGAACUUGCCUCACAGCUAGGGACAACAUUUGGAAACGAAUGCUAAUACCUAAUAUUAUGAUAAUAGGGCAUCCUAUAAUUAUGAAAGCUAUAAGCGCUGUGAGAGAGCUUUGCGUCCCAUUAGCUAGUUGGAGAGGUAACGGCUCACCAAGGCGAUGAUGGGUAGCCGGCCUGAGAGGGUGAACGGCCACAAGGGGACUGAGACACGGCCCUUACUCCUACGGGAGGCAGCAGUGGGGAAUAUUGGACAAUGGACCAAGAGUCUGAUCCAGCAAUUCUGUGUGCACGAUGAAGUUUUUCGGAAUGUAAAGUGCUUUCAGUUGGGAAGAAAGAAAUGACGGUACCAACAGAAGAAGUGACGGCUAAAUACGUGCCAGCAGCCGCGGUAAUACGUAUGUCACGAGCGUUAUCCGGAUUUAUUGGGCGUAAAGCGCGUCUAGGUGGUUAUGUAAGUCUGAUGUGAAAAUGCAGGGCUCAACUCUGUAUUGCGUUGGAAACUGCAUGACUAGAGUACUGGAGAGGUAAGCGGAACUACAAGUGUAGAGGUGAAAUUCGUAGAUAUUUGUAGGAAUGCCGAUGGGGAAGCCAGCUUACUGGACAGAUACUGACGCUAAAGCGCGAAAGCGUGGGUAGCAAACAGGAUUAGAUACCCUGGUAGUCCACGCCGUAAACG
rnacentral:rRNA from 1 species